AGGAGAAACAACAGUGGUGGCGGCCAGCUCUGGAGCCCUGGAAUCAGCUCCUGCAGUAACAACGGAGCUCUCGGUCAGCAGGGCCUGGAUGCUCUGGGGGCGG
rnacentral:pre_miRNA from 1 species